UACGAAGGGGGCUAGCGUUGUUCGGAAUUACUGGGCGUAAAGGGCGCGUAGGCGGUGUGUCAAGUCAGGCGUGAAAGCCCCGGGCUCAACCCAGGAACUGCACUCGAAACUCCGAGGCUAGAGUGUGGGAGAGGAUAGUGGAAUUCCCAGUGUAGAGGUGAAAUUCGUAGAUAUUGGGAAGAACACCAAAGGCGAAGGCAGCGUCCUGGUUUGUUACUGACGCUCAAGUGCGAAAGCUAGGGGAGCGAACGGG
rnacentral:rRNA from 1 species